rnacentral:rRNA from 1 species
CCUACGGGAGGCAGCAGUGGGGGAUAUUGCACAAUGGGGGGAACCCUGAUGCAGCGACGCCGCGUGGGUGAAGAAGCGCCUCGGCGCGUAAAGCCCUGUCAGCAGGGAAGAAAAUGACGGUACCUGAAGAAGAAGCCCCGGCUAACUACGUGCCAGCAGCCGCGGUAAUACGUAGGGGGCAAGCGUUAUCCGGAUUUACUGGGUGUAAAGGGGGCGCAGACGGCGAUGCAAGCCAGGAGUGAAAGCCCGGGGCCCAACCCCCGGACUGCUUUGGAAACUGUAUGGCUGGAGUGCAGGAGAGGUAA